rnacentral:rRNA from 1 species
UACGGGGGGGGCAAGCGUUGUUCGGAAUUACUGGGCGUAAAGGGCGCGUAGGCGGUUGGAUAAGUCAGCUGUGAAAACCACGGGCUUAACUCGUGGCCUGCAGUUGAGACUGUCUGGCUUGAGUGUGGGAGAGGAGAGUGGAAUUCCUGGUGUAGCGGUGAAAUGCGUAGAUAUUGGGAGGAACACCAGUGGCGAAGGCGGCUCACUGGACCGGAACUGACGCUGAGGCGCGAAAGCGUGGGGAGCAAACAGG